rnacentral:rRNA from 1 species
CCUACGGGGGGCAGCAGUGAGGAAUAUUGGUCAAUGGCCGGAAGGCUGAACCAGCCAAGCCGCGUGAAGGACGAAGGUGCCAAGCAUUGUAAACUUCUUUUGUCAAGGGACAAAAUCAGGCUCGAGAGCCUGACCGAGGGUACUUGAAGAAAAAGCAUCGGCUAACUCCGUGCCAGCAGCCGCGGUAAUACGGAGGAUGCGAGCGUUAUCCGGAUUUAUUGGGUUUAAAGGGUGCGUAGGGGGGCUGUUAAGUCAGCGGUAAAAGCACGGGGCCAAAACCCGGAGGGCAGUUGAAACUGGCUGUCUGGAGAUGUGUAGAGGUAUGCGGAAGGCGUGGUGUAGCGGUGAAAGGCUUAGAUAUUGCGAAGAACUCCGAUUGCGAAGGCAGCAUACCGGCGGCGUUCUGACGCUGAGGCACGAAAGCGUGGGUAUCAAACAGGAUUAGAUACCCGAGUAGUC